UUCUGUGUGACUGAAAGUUUAUCCAUUUUAUUGUAACUAAAAUACUAUAUUGUUUUGCAACAUAGGUUGGGAAACCAGAGUAGUGAUGAGAAUAUUCUUCAAAUGAGGAGUGUCGUUAGGAAACUUUUCAGAGAAGCUCAACAGAAUAUCUUGUACUUGAACAAAUAACGCAUCUUUACAAUGGAAGAGCUUGAUAGAGUAAAAGAGAGAAACGUUCAUUGCUUGAUAGAAUCGAGCAACUA